UACGGAGGGUGCAAGCGUUAUCCGGAUUUACUGGGUUUAAAGGGUGCGUAGGUGGGCAGUUAAGUCAGUGGUGAAAUCUCCGGGCUUAACCCGGAAACUGCCAUUGAUACUAUCUGUCUUGAAUAUCCUGGAGGUGAGCGGAAUAUGUCAUGUAGCGGUGAAAUGCUUAGAUAUGACAUAGAACACCCAUUGCGAAGGCAGCUCACUACGGGAUUAUUGACACUGAGGCACGAAAGCGUGGGGAUCAAACAGG
rnacentral:rRNA from 1 species